rnacentral:snRNA from 1 species
GUGCUCGCUUCAGCAGCACAGAUACUAAAAUUGGAACGAUAUAGAGAACGAUACAGAGAUUAGCAUGGCCCCUGCACAAGGAUGACACGCAAAUUCGUGAAGUGUUCCAUAUUUUU